rnacentral:rRNA from 1 species
UACAGAGGCUGCAAGCGUUAUUCGGAUUCACUGGGCGUAAAGGGUGCGCAGGCGGCCGUGUGUGUGAGGCGUGAAAGCCCGGGGCUUAACCCCGGAAUUGCACCUCAAACUACAUGGCUAGAGCAUUGGAGAGGGUAGCGGAAUUCACGGUGUAGCAGUGAAAUGCGUAGAUAUCGUGAGGAACACCAGAGGCGAAGGCGGCUACCUGGACAAUUGCUGACGCUCAGGCACGAAAGCGUGGGGAGCAAAAGGG